GGGUUGUGAGGUUAAGCGACUAAGCGUACACGGUGGAUGCCCUGGCAGUCAGAGGCGAUGAAGGACGUGCUAAUCUGCGAUAAGCGCCGGUAAGGUGAUAUGAACCGUUAUAACCGGCGAUUUCCGAAUGGGGAAACCCAGUGUGAUUCGUCACACUAUCAUUAACUGAAUCCAUAGGUUAAUGAGGCGAACCGGGGGAACUGAAACAUCUAAGUACCCCGAGGAAAAGAAAUCAACCGAGAUUCCCCCAGUAGCGGCGAGCGAACGGGGAGGAGCCCAGAGCCUGAAUCAGCAUGUGUGUUAGUGGAAGCGUCUGGAAAGGCGCGCGAUACAGGGUGACAGCCCCGUACACAAAAGCGCAUGUGCUGUGAGCUCGAUGAGUAGGGCGGGACACGUGGUAUCCUGUCUGAAUAUGGGGGGACCAUCCUCCAAGGCUAAAUACUCCUGACUGACCGAUAGUGAACCAGUACCGUGAGGGAAAGGCGAAAAGAACCCCGGCGAGGGGAGUGAAAAAGAACCUGAAACCGUGUACGUACAAGCAGUGGGAGCACCCUUUGGGGUGUGACUGCGUACCUUUUGUAUAAUGGGUCAGCGACUUAUAUUCUGUAGCAAGGUUAACCGUAUAGGGGAGCCGGAGGGAAACCGAGUCUUAAUUGGGCGUUAAGUUGCAGGGUAUAGACCCGAAACCCGGUGAUCUAGCCAUGGGCAGGUUGAAGGUUGGGUAACACUAACUGGAGGACCGAACCGAC
rnacentral:rRNA from 1 species